AGUGAACGCUGGCGGUAGGCCUAACACAUGCAAGCCGAACGGCAGCACAGUAAGAGCUUGCUCUUACGGGUGGCGAGUGGCGGACGGGUGAGGAAUACAUCGGAAUCUACUUUUUCGUGGGGGCUAACGUAGGGAAACUUACGCUAAUACCGCAUACGACCUACGGGUGAAAGCAGGGGAUCUUCGGACCUUGCGCGAUUGAAUGAGCCGAUGUCGGAUUAGCUAGUUGGCGGGGUAAAGGCCCACCAAGGCGACGAUCCGUAGCUGGUCUGAGAGGAUGAUCAGCCACACUGGAACUGAGACACGGUCCAGACUCCUACGGGAGGCAGCGGCGGGGAAUAUUGGACAAUGGGGGCAAGCCUGAUCCAGCCAUACCGCGUGGGUGAAGAAGGCCUUCGGGUUGGAAAGCCCUGUUGUUGGGAAAGAAAAGCAGCAGGUUAAUACCCCGCUGUUCUGACGGUACCCAAAGAAUAAGCACCGGCUAACUUCGUG
rnacentral:rRNA from 1 species